rnacentral:rRNA from 1 species
CCUACGGGAGGCAGCAGUGAGGAAUUUUCCGCAAUGGGCGAAAGCCUGACGGAGCAAUACCGCGUGAGGGAUGAAGGAUUUUGGUCUGUAAACCUCUUUUUCUCAAGAAGAAGUUCUGACGGUACUUGAGGAAUAAGCAUCGGCUAACUCCGUGCCAGCAGCCGCGGUAAUACGGGGGAUGCAAGCGUUAUCCGGAAUGAUUGGGCGUAAAGCGCCUGUAGGUUGUUUAUUAAGUCCGUUGUUAAAGCCUAGGGCUCAACCCUAGAAAAGCAAUGGAAACUAGUAGACUAGAGUAUGGCAGGGGUAGAGGGAAUUUCUAGUGUAGCGGUGAAAUGCGUAGAUAUUAGAAAGAACACCGGUGGCGAAAGCGCUCUACUGGACCAUUACUGACACUCAGAGGCGAAAGCUAGGGUAGCAAAAGGGAUUAGAUACCCCUGUAGUCCUAGCCGUAAACGAUGGAUACUAGAUGUUGUGNAUAUNUANAGUAUGUAGACUACGUACGUAAGUAUCCGUCCGUCGGGUAGGUACGUCGUCGCGAGGUAGGAAACGUUAAAGUAGUAAGUUAGUACGGCGUGAGAACGUCGCCGACGGACGACGACGAGGGGAGGAGG